UGAUGAAGACUGGGAGCAUCUGUAAAAGAGCACCUGUAAAAGAGCAUCUGCAAAAGAGCCUGAAAACUCCUCCUCUGUUAACUCUUCAUCCAUUUGCCUCCAUACCAUUUCAUAAAGUCUAAUUCUGGUCACUUCCGUCUAUCUGAAACCUCUUCCUCAUGAGAACAGGAAAUGGGAAUUUGCAAGGUUCUUGCAAAUCAUUGUUAAAGUGACAACGGAGGCAGGAAGCUGCCAGCCACCUAGCCUUGUAUGCUUCAGCACCAUAGAGUGGCAUCUUUCCAAAAGGGGAGUGUUCCUAAUUAAGUACCAGGCUGGAUUUGGACCUAUGGUAUAGGAACUCUCAGGCUGUUCAGUUUUGGAAAAGCACUGUUGUGAAUGCAGCACCCAAAGAAGUGUAUGCUAGGCUGAGAGACCCACAGAGAGCUUGCUUCAUGCAAAAUAACCAACUCAAAAC